UACAGAGGUCUCAAGCGUUGUUCGGAUACAUUGGGCGUAAAGGGUGCGUAGGCGGCGCGGUAAGUCGGGUGUGAAAUCUUGGAGCUUAACUCCGAAACUGCAUUCGAUACUGCCGUGCUUGAGGACUGGAGAGGAGACUGGAAUUUACGGUGUAGCGGUGAAAUGCGUAGAUAUCGUAAGGAAGACCAGUGGCGAAGGCGGGUCUCUGGACAGUUCCUGACGCUGAGGCACGAAGGCCAGGGGAGCAAACGGG
rnacentral:rRNA from 1 species